UAAGUACUUCGUGUGGUCCUGUAUAGGU
rnacentral:sRNA from 1 species